rnacentral:lncRNA from 7 species
GAAGCGGGAGGUAAAAGCUUCGAUCUCGCACCGUCUUUGCUUGGACUGAAGGGUGCUCCCUCCGAUCCUUUCCUUGUUUACUUUACCCAUGCAGCUUCAUCAUUCGUAUCUCAAGUCAAGGUUUUACUUCAUAUGAUCUGUAUUUUAUUUUCCAACCUGCUGUCUCGAACUCUUGAUCUGUCUUUGCUUGAGCUGCUUAUUAAUUAUUAUCUUGCAUAUAUAUUAGGCAUCUGAUGCAUACAUCCAUAGCAGCUGCCAGGCUAUUUUAAUUUUACCAUGUGCGUGCUUACUGUUCUUCUGUGGUUGUUAUAUAGCUGUUGUAUAUAUAUAAUGGAGAUCCGAUGCUUUUUUGUACUUUUCUUGCCCUUUUGAUAUGUACACAUACUAGCUAUAUAUAUAAUCCUUGAUCUGCUCCCUGAAUCUAUAUACUGUUCGAUCUCUUCCAAAAAGUUAUCCCAGUUUCUGAAGAAAAGAAAAGGAAGAAAUUGAUUUGCUUUGCAUGUGUGUAGAUCUUACAGGACAGGACCGGAUCCGAUCCAUGCAGGUUUCUGCUGUCUUUCUGUGAUCUGUGGAAGAAGAUGGUGUGCACUGUACGUUCUAGACUAGCUAGCUAGGACUAUAUAUAAACGAGAAUCUGUGGAAUCAUAAAAACACACUUUCGUUCGAUCGAUUCGUCGUGUCGUGCAACAGCGAAACGUCUUUCGAUCUCCCUGUUUAUUUGCUUUGGAACUUUGCAUGCAACUAGCUAUUGAUUCGACGUGUGCUAGCAUAGCAGCUGUGUCGUCUGUGUGAUGCUCCUCCACCUUUCUUUUAUUUGGAGCAUAUUAUGACCACCACUACUUGGACCGAAUCAUCAGGUUU